UGUAUCCUACGGGGCGCAGCAGUGGGGAAUAUUGCACAAUGGGGGGAACCCUGAUGCAGCGACGCCGCGUGGGUGAAGGAGCACCUCGGUGCGUAAAGCCCUAUCGGCAGGGAAGAAACAGACGGUACCUGACUAAGAAGCCCCGGCUAACUACGUGCCAGCAGCCGCGGUAAUAAGUAGGGGGCAAGCGUUAUCCGGAUUUACUGGGUGUAAAGGGAGCGUAGACGGCG
rnacentral:rRNA from 1 species